rnacentral:rRNA from 1 species
CCUACGGGAGGCAGCAGUGAGGAAUAUUGGUCAAUGGACGAGAGUCUGAACCAGCCAAGUAGCGUGAAGGAUGACUGCCCUAUGGGUUGUAAACUUCUUUUAUAUGGGAAUAAAAUGUUCCACGUGUGGGAUUUUGUAUGUACCGUAUGAAUAAGGAUCGGCUAACUCCGUGCCAGCAGCCGCGGUAAUACGGAGGGUCCGAGCGUUAUCCGGAUUUAUUGGGUUUAAAGGGAGCGUAGGUGGAAUGUUAAGUGAGUGGUGAAAGUUUGCGGCUCAACCAUAAAAUUGCAGUUGAAACUGGCAGUCUUGAGUACAGUAGACGUGGGCGGAAUUCGUGGUGUAGCGGUGAAAUGCUUAGAUAUCACGAAGAACUCCGAUUGCGAAGGCAGUUCACUGGACUGCAACUGACACUGAGGCUCGAAAGUGCGGGUAUCAAACAGGAUUAGAUACCCUAGUAGUC